UACGUAGGGGGCAAGCGUUGUCCGGAUUUAUUGGGCGUAAAGAGCGUGUAGGCGGUUUGGUAGGUCCGCUGUGAAAACUCGAGGCUCAACCUCGAGACGCCGGUGGAAACCAUCAGACUAGAGUCCGGAAGAGGAGAGUGGAAUUCCUGGUGUAGCAGUGAAAUGCGUAGAUAUCAGGAGGAACACCGAUGGCGAAGGCAGGUCUCUGGGCUGACACUGACGCUCAUGCACGAAAGCGUGGGGAGCAAACAGG
rnacentral:rRNA from 1 species